UACAGAGGGUGCGAGCGUUAAUCGGAAUUACUGGGCGUAAAGCGUGCGUAGACGGUUAUUUAAGUCGGAUGUGAAAGCCCCGGGCUCAACCUGGGAAUUGCAUUCGAGACUGAAUAGCUAGGGUACGGUAGAGGGAAGUGGAAUUUCCGGUGUAGCGGUGAAAUGCGUAGAUAUCGGGAGGAACACCAGUGGCGAAGGCGGUUCUCUGGGAAUAUCCUGACGCUGAGGAGCGAAAGUGUGGGGAGCGAACAGG
rnacentral:rRNA from 1 species